rnacentral:tRNA from 1 species
GUCUCCGUGGCGCAAUCGGCUAGCGCGUUCGGCUGUUAACCGAAAGGUUGCUGGUUCGAGCCCACACGGGGACU